CUCCUUUAGAUUUAUUUAAGGUACCGCCUGCUCAAUGUUUAAAAUAAAUAGCCGCAGUAUUUUGACUGUGCUAAGGUAGCAUAAUCAUUAGUCUCUUAAUUGGAGGCUGGUAUGAAUGGUGAGACGAGAAAAAAUCUGUCUCUAAUAAAAAUAUUGAAUUUUAUUUUUAAGUGAAAAAGCUUAAAUUUGUUUGGAGGACGAUCAGACCCUUUGGAGCUUUUUUGUUGGGGCGACAGAGAGUAAAAAUAUCACUCUUUUUUAUUAACAGUAAUAAUUGAACAGAUGAUCCUUAUAUGAGAGAUUAAAAGACUAAGUUACCCUAGGGAUAACAGCGUAAUCUUCUUAGAGAGUUCUUAUCGAUAAGAAGGUUUGCGACCUCGAUGUUGGAUUAAGAAAUUAGCAGGGUGCAGAAGCUUUGCUGGAAAGUCUGUUCGACUUUUAAUAUCUUACA
rnacentral:rRNA from 1 species